GAGUUUGAUUCUGACUCAGAACGAACGCUGGCGGCGCGUUUUUAAGCAUGCAAGUCGAACGGUAAGGGAGAGCUUGCUCUCCCCUAGAGUGGCGGACUGGUGAGUAACGCGUGGGUGACCUGCCCUGAAGAUGGGGAUAGCUAGUAGAAAUAUUAGAUAAUACCGAAUGUGCUCAUUUACAUAAAGGUAAAUGAGGAAAGGAGCUACGGCUCCGCUUCAGGAUGGGCCCGCGUCCCAUUAGCUGGUUGGUGAGGUAAAGGCCCACCAAGGCAACGAUGGGUAUCCGGCCUGAGAGGGUGAACGGACACAUUGGGACUGAGAUACGGCCCAAACUCCUACGGGAGGCAGCAGCUAAGAAUCUUCCGCAAUGGACGAAAGUCUGACGGAGCGACGCCGUGUGAAUGAAGAAGGCUGAAAGGUUGUAAAAUUCUUUUGCAGAUGAAGAAUAAACACAGGAGGGAAUGC
rnacentral:rRNA from 1 species